CCAUCGUUUAACGGCCGCGACUAAGUGCUAAGGUAGCAUAAUAAUUUGUCUUUUUAUUGGAGACUAGAAUGAAAGAAGAUAACGAGGCUUAACUGUCUCCAAGCAACCUAUUAAAAUUGAUUUAAGAGUGAAAAAUCUCGUAUACUAGUGAAGGACGAAAAGACCCUGUAGAGUUUGUAGUGAAAUUAAUAAAUUAAUUAAUUCACUUUUAUUGGGGCAAUAAAAGAUCAAAUUUAAACUCUUUUAAAAGGUUUUUGACAUAUCAAAAAAGAAAGAUCCUCAAAGAGAAAAAAGAAAAACUACCUCAGGGAUAACAGCGUAAUUCUUCCAGAGAGAUCUAAUUGAAGGAAUGAGUUUGCGACCUCGAUGUUGGACUAAGGUAACUUUUAAAUGCAGAAGUUUAUUAAAGUAAGCCUGUUCGGCUUUUAAAACCUUACAUGAUU
rnacentral:rRNA from 1 species